AGAGUUUGAUCCUGGCUCAGGAUGAACGCUAGCUAUAGGCUUAACACAUGCAAGUCGAGGGGCAGCAUGGUCUUAGCUUGCUAAGGCCGAUGGCGACCGGCGCACGGGUGAGUAACGCGUAUCCAACCUGCCUUACACUCUUGGACAGCCUUCUGAAAGGGAGAUUAAUACAAGAUGUUAUCAUGAGUAAGCAUUUUCGCAUGAUUAAAGGUUUACCGGUGUAAGAUGGGGAUGCGUUCCAUUAGAUAGUAGGCGGGGUAACGGCCCACCUAGUCUUCGAUGGAUAGGGGUUCUGAGAGGAAGGUCCCCCACAUUGGAACUGAGACAUGGUCCAAACUCCUACGGGAGGCAGCAGUGAGGAAUAUUGGUCAAUGGACGAGAGUCUGAACCAGCCAAGUAGCGUGAAGGAUGAAGGUUCUAUGGAUUGUAAACUUCUUUUAUACGGGAAUAAACGAAUCUACGUGUGGAUUUUUGCAUGUACCGUAUGAAUAAGGAUCGGCUAACUCCGUGCCAGCAGCCGCGGUAAUACGGAGGAUCCGAGCGUUAUCCGGAUUUAUUGGGUUUAAAGGGAGCGUAGAUGGGUUGUUAAGUCAGUUGUGAAAGUUUGCGGCUCAACCGUAAAAUUGCAAUUGAUACUGGCAGUCUUGAGUACAGUUGAGGUAGGCGGAAUUCGUGGUGUAGCGGUGAAAUGCUUAGAUAUCACGAAGAACUCCGAUUGCGAAGGCAGCUUACUAACCUGUAACUGACAUUGAUGCUCGAAAGUGUGGGUAUCAAACAGGAUUAGAUACCCUGGUAGUCCACACGGUAAACGAUGAAUACUCGCUGUAGGCGAUAUACAGUCUGCGGCCAAGCGAAAGCAUUAAGUAUUCCACCUGGGGAGUACGCCGGCAACGGUGAAACUCAAAGGAAUUGACGGGGGCCCGCACAAGCGGAGGAACAUGUGGUUUAAUUCGAUGAUACGCGAGGAACCUUACCCGGGCUUAAAUUGCAACCGAAUAUGGCGGAAACGCCGUAGCUAGCAAUAGCCGUUGUGAAGGUGCUGCAUGGUUGUCGUCAGCUCGUGCCGUGAGGUGUCGGCUUAAGUGCCAUAACGAGCGCAACCCUUGCCGAUAGUUACUAACAGGUCAUGCUGAGGACUCUGUCGGGACUGCCAUCGUAAGAUGUGAGGAAGGUGGGGAUGACGUCAAAUCAGCACGGCCCUUACGUCCGGGGCUACACACGUGUUACAAUGGGGGGUACAGAGGGCUGCUACCACGCAAGUGGAUGCCAAUCCCAAAAACCUCUCUCAGUUCGGAUUGAAGUCUGCAACCCGACUUCAUGAAGCUGGAUUCGCUAGUAAUCGCGCAUCAGCCACGGCGCGGUGAAUACGUUCCCGGGCCUUGUACACACCGCCCGUCAAGCCAUGGGAGCCGGGGGUACCUGAAGUGCGUAACCGCAAGGAGCGCCCUAGGGUAAAACUGGUGACUGGGGCUAAGUCGUAACAAGGUA
rnacentral:rRNA from 1 species